CAUUUCUCAGUGUGUUACUCGUGCAGCUCAUUCGUUUCACCGUCCCGAACGGCGUAACCGUCGCUCCUGACACCGUGAUAAACAGCCGCCUCUGUCGUAAGUCAAGUCGGUAUAAAAUCUCGGACAUUACUCGUUCUAGAGUUUACUAAGUCGGAACGACUUGACAAGGCGGAUAUAGUUAGCGUUAGAUCUUAAGCAGCACUGUCUGUCUCUUUCCCUUCGCCGUUUUUCAAAUUCCGCGUCGGUGGUAUUCGACUUUCGUACGAGUAAUCGUGCUGAUUUUGCUUUUACAAAGGCAUUUAAAGAGUCAAGCUACAUCUCGUAAACCAUCCAAUUCUAAUGAAGUAGACGAUAAUGUAAAUGACUCGGAACGAAACUACCCAGGGAGUCUUUCUUUCUCGUUCGCUUCUCUCGACUUCACCGAGAAAAUUAAAAUCCGUAUUUCUAUCGAACGCGAAGAGACUUAAGAAUUGAUUAAAUUACACUUGGUAAUACGGCUGCUACCGUGAUUCGAAAUUUGUCCGUUUGCCGACACGUAAUCCGUUUCGAGAGAUCGAUAAGAGAGUGAGUUACACGAGUCGCUUGUAAAUGAGUAGAGAUAUCGAUCAGGAUCUUAGAUAGUAGCGUUCGCUCAUAGCGAAAACUCAUCCGAAGACGGGAGGAAGAGUGAAAAAGUACUGAGAAGAGGAAAUACGAAUUUCUGUCGGUACAAGAGAAGGAAAUAUAUGUCUAAAGACGGCGGUAGAGAAACGCGUUCGUUUCGCAAGAAAUAUUCCUCCGAUCUGGAGAAGUAGCAGGGCUACUCUUUGUGCACGACGCUGUGGCAGCCAUAAAAUCCUUAAAAUGCAUAGCUACAAUGAAAUUGUGGGCACGAAUGUAACCCUCGGCUAAGGUUAAUCUGGCGAGAGCAUCGCGACGCCUGGCUAAUGGCACGUCCGACGGUUGCGUGCCAGCAUUUUCAGCCAAGCAGUCGUCGAGCAUCCGUCCUGCUCGGGAGGGAGCUCAGCCGACUGAGUGAUGAAGUGAGUGUGGAGUGAGGCCUAUUUUUGUGCUUACCGACAAACAGCCUCGUAGAUCUCAUGACACGUCGUUAGAAGCCCACGAAAAUACACUCGAUGUUACUCCAAAGUGCUACGAGAUAUCCACAGAGAGUUUACCUCCUUAGUUUAUUCCAAGAAACAACAAAAACGUUCCUUUCUUUCAUCCGAUUUUUUCCGCAUACACAUUAACCUAUCGUAUUUACCUACGCUCUAUAGUAUUUACCUCCUUGGUUUAUUCCAAGAAACAACAAAAACGUUCCUUUCUUUCUCCCGGUUAUGUUCGUACACACAUUAACCCAUCGUAUUUACCUACACUCUUCGAUCGUUGUAAUCAUUCGAUUAAACGUCCGACAAUCUACAAACGAAAUAUAUUGUUCUUAACUUUGUUAUGUAUCGAAUAAAUCGUUCAGAAACUCUCUGGAAUGAUCUUAAUCGUAUCUCGUUAAUCUUAAGUUCCACAUAGAUUAAAUGUCUCUAUUUGGAUCAACGACAGCUUUUCUCUCGAUUAUCAAACUCACAUAAAUGUCUUGAAUUUGCACGAUAUUCAAUUACGUCGAACGCUCAUGCGAAGCGAAGCAAGGCUCCGAAAUUAGCUGGCAUCUCGACCGAUACGGAUACGGACCAAGCAUGAAACCGUGUCUAACGAGCGCUCGCUCACCCGUUCAAGGGGUUUUGUACGAAACUAGCCUGCAGACGUCGGUGGCAAAUGAUCACUACGGUCGUAGAAGUCUAGCGGAACUAGGAUUAUCCAGAUAUCUGUGGAAAUAUCUGACGCUUAGGAACGUGACAUUUUAACAUUCAAGAAGAUCUCAAACACUUAAUCGACGUCGUAUCACGAAAGAAAAAGUUAAAAAGGAAAGAUUUCGAAAAUGACUACGGACAGGCGUUCUCUCUAUAUCAGCUUUUACACUGACUCCCUUCGUGACAGUUACCACCGUGCCAUUCGAAGAUGCUCAUUCUACAAAGUUAUUGCCAACAGCUGUACAACUUUUUUCGAUCGUUUCGUUCGCGCUCCGAAAAUUAUCGUCUACCAGGCGAACGCUUUACGAUGAAGACGCAAGCAUAACCUUCUCUUCCGAUCGAGCGUUCUUUAUACGUCCAUAAAGGGAAAUUAAUGUUCUGGAUGGUAAUGGUAAAUGGAGUGGAAAGAAGACAAGAAAUCGUAAGAUAAACGACAUCGGGAUGUGCCGAAGGCUGGCAUCUUUUAUCGAUGAGAAACGAAAGAAGAAGAUGCAAGUGAGAGAUCAAAAUUUUAAGUUAAAUUUUGAUCUUGUGGAAAGGUCACUAUAAAGGAAACUUCACAAAUAGUUGUUUAUUUGAUCAUUUAUCUUAUAAAAAAGGAAAAAUUUAUAUAUUACCGAUGCAUUACAUGUAUAUAAAUGACUUCUUAAAUGAGAUAACGAUUUAACUAGGAUACAUUUAACUUUUCGAUUUUUUAAGCAAACACGAAAGAAGCAACUCCGUAAAUGAGAAUGAAAUUUGAAUCGAUCACAAAGGGAGCUCUCUACGGUGAAAGGAAAUGCACGAGGAAGCGAUCGCGGAUGAUGAACGAUCGGGUCGAGAGAAAAUAAAGUGGUAGAUCGUAGAAAGGAGGAACGUCGAUGGGAAGCAUUCCCAUCUAUCAAGCCCUUCCCCGAUAAUCAUCGGUUGCCGACCGAACUCGAGUAGAAACAAAAUCUCGUGAAACGACUAAAAAAUGAGAUCAACGCGGUAUUCUCGCUUCAACUCUCGCCAUUCCUUCGCUCCCCGUACUUCCUUUUCUCAAUAUCUUCUCUCUCUCUCUCUCUUUCUCUCAUUUACUCUUUUUAAAUCUCUUGUAACGAUUAGCAAAUUGAGAAUAUUGAAGAUGAGAUGAUAUAGUAGAUAGGAGAUAAUAACGUUGCAGGUAACACCCCGGUUGAAACGUAUUUAACGCUCUAUAUUUAUCGAGAAGGUGUAGCUUCGUUAGUUCUUUUAGCAUCCGAACAUUUAUCAUCAAUUUUGGCUUACUCAAGUACCUAUUAUUACCAUAUUGAAAGAAAGAAGAAAAAAAAACGCACGAACUAUACAAACUAUUUAUUAUUAAAAUGAUUCGCUUGUUCUGCUGAUACAAUAUAAAUUUUCGAACAUUUUUAUCUAUAUUAAUAAAAUAACUGGAUAUUCAAUAAUCGACAUCUGUUAGGUAUGUACGUAAUAUCUCAUAAGAGUUUAGAACAAAAGUUACGAUGACAAUAACAGUAAACGUUUCACCAUGAUAAAGAGAGUUAUCAUAUCUUUGAUCAUCAGACGAACUGGACACGGCAAAAUGUAGUAGUUUAUUCGCGUUGAUCUUGAUAACAACCACAACGUAGGAACGCAUGCAUGUUGGAAAAAGGAAGUUAAAUAUAUACUCUUCCUCACUAAUUCUCCACUACUAUUCUGCAUUGAUACGAUGUUUCUUUGAUACAAGUUAAUAUCAAUUAAAUACAGAAAAUGAUUAAUAUAGCUAAAAUAAUUGUUAUAUUUUUAAAAGUUAUCAAUGUAUGAUAGAGAUUUGGUCGAUUUGGUGAAUAUCAUAGGAUGAAACACUUUAAAUUGAUAUAUAAAAUUUUAACUUUUAGAAAUUAAGCGUUUCGAAAAUAUAGGUCUCUAUAUAAAAUAAAUCUUUACAGCUAUUAACUUUAAAUAAUAUAAUAAAUCUUUACAGCUAUUUAUAUAACAUUGUUCGAAAAUUAGUAUAACAAUGUGAGUAUGAAUGAGAUAUAUAUAUGGCUGAUGAAUAUGUACGUAUAUAUUAUGCUUGAAAAUACUCAAUGAGUGAAAAAAACGAUCAGCUUCUUUAAAAAAAAAAAGGAGUAUCGGUUUGAUUUGAGUUACAUUUUAUUAAUACCUCAAACAAGAAACUCUUUUUAAAGAAAGACAAAAAAAAGCAAAAUUUCUUAUCUUUGAGUAACUUUACACAUAUAUAUUUCUUCUUGAAUUACUACACGUUAAAUAUAAAAUCUGGAAAAUAAACGUAACAUUGAUAGUUCA